UACGUAGGGGGCAAGCGUUGUCCGGAUUUACUGGGCGUAAAGGGCGUGUAGGCGGCUGGAUAAGUGGGAUGUUAAAUCCCCCGGCUCAACCGGGGACCUGCAUCUCAUACUGUUCAGCUCGAGCACAUCAGAGGAGACUGGAAUUCCCGGUGUAGCGGUGAAAUGCGUAGAUAUCUGGAGGAAUACCGGUGGCGAAGGCGGCAUCCUGGACCGACAUUGACGCUGAGGAGCGAAAGCUAGGGGAGCAAACGGG
rnacentral:rRNA from 1 species